UACGAAGGGUGCAAGCGUUACUCGGAAUUACUGGGCGUAAAGCGUGCGUAGGUGGUUCGUUAAGUCUGAUGUGAAAGCCCUGGGCUCAACCUGGGAAUUGCAUUGGAUACUGGCGAGCUAGAGUGCGGUAGAGGAUGGCGGAAUUCCCGGUGUAGCAGUGAAAUGCGUAGAGGUCGGGAGGAACAUCUGUGGCGAAGGCGGCCAUCUGGUCCAUUACUGACGCUGAGGUGCGAAAGCGUGGGGAGCAAACAGG
rnacentral:rRNA from 1 species